rnacentral:rRNA from 1 species
AACGAACGCUGGCGGCAUGCCUAACACAUGCAAGUCGAACGAGACCUUCGGGUCUAGUGGCGCACGGGUGCGUAACGCGUGGGAACCUGCCCUUAGGUUCGGAAUAACUCCCCGAAAGGGGUGCUAAUACCGGAUAAUGUCUUCGGACCAAAGAUUUAUCGCCUUUGGAUGGGCCCGCGUUGGAUUAGCUAGGUGGUAGGGUAAAAGCCUACCAAGGCGACGAUCCAUAGCUGGUCUGAGAGGAUGAUCAGCCACACUGGGACUGAGACACGGCCCAGACUCCUACGGGAGGCAGCAGUGGGGAAUAUUGGACAAUGGGCGAAAGCCUGAUCCAGCAAGGCCGCGUGAGUGAUGAAGGCCUUAGGGUUGUAAAGCUCUUUUACCCGGGAUGAUAAUGACAGUACCGGGAGAAUAAGCUCCGGCUAAUUCCGU